rnacentral:rRNA from 1 species
AAUGAACGCUGGCGGCAGGCCUAACACAUGCAAGUCGAACGAGAGGCGGACGGGUGAGUAAUGUAUGGGAAACUGCCCGAUGGAGGGGGAUAACUACGGGAAACGGUAGAUAAUACCGCAUACCAUCGGAUGUGCCCAGAUGGGAUUAGCUAGCUGGUGGGGUAACGGCUCACCAAGGCGACGAGCCCUAGCUGGUCUGAGAGGAUGACCAGCCACACUGGAACUGAGACACGGUCCAGACUCCUACGGGAGGCAGCAGUGGGGAAUAUUGCACAAUGGGCGCAAGCCUGAUGCAGCCAUGCCGCGUGUAUGAAGAAGGCCUUCGGGUUGUAAAGUACUUUCAGCGAGGAGGCGUUACUCGCAGAGGAAGCACCGGCUAACUCCGUGCCAGCAGCCGCGGUAAUUC